CAAUCCUCUGCCCUCCGAAAUCCUAGGGAUAGGGAUGGCAAUUCAGCUCGCUGUUCACGAGGCAACUCGUAUUUGGCUCGAAAUGAGCUCGAGAUCGAAUUACUUGUUUAGUAAAUGAGGCCAACACGAGCCGAAUUUUUCUGCUCGUUUAAUAAACGAGCCAAACACGAGCUGGGAUCAGCUCGCUUGUGUUCGACUCGAUAACAGCUUGAAUACAUAUAUUUUAUAUUUAUAUAAUUUAUUUAAUUUAUAUUUUUAUGUAUAAAUAUAUAAUAUAUAUUUUUAUUAUUUAAUUUUUAGCAAAAAAAAUAUAUAUAAAUGCGAGCUCAAUUAUAAAAAGAUUCAUUUAUAUAUAAAAUUUCAACUAUUAGAUUAAAGUCUAAUGAAUAAAAUUUUAUAAAUUUAUUUUUUAUAUAUAUUCAAUCUAAUCCUUUUUAAUUUAUUGUUCGUUAGUCAGCUCGUGAGCCUGCUCGUGUUCGCCUCGUUGUUUAUUAACGAGCCGAACACGAGCUAAACUUUUCAGCUCGAUCCUUUAACGAGCCAGCUCAU
rnacentral:lncRNA from 1 species